rnacentral:rRNA from 1 species
GUGUGGACGCCAGUCUGCAUGGAGCCGGCCUUGAAAUACCACCCUUUAAUGUUUGAUGUUCUAACGUUGACCCGUGAUCCGGGUUGCGGACAGUGUCUGGUGGGUAGUUUGACUGGGGCGGUCUCCUCCUAAAGAGUAACGGAGGAGCACGAAGGUUGGCUAAUCCUGGUCGGACAUCAGGAGGUUAGUGCAAUGGCAUAAGCCAGCUUGACUGCGAGCGUGACGGCGCGAGCAGGUGCGAAAGCAGGUCAUAGUGAUCCGGUGGUUCUGAAUGGAAGGGCCAUCGCUCAACGGAUAAAAGGUACUCCGGGGAUAACAGGCUGAUACCGCCCAAGAGUUCAUAUCGACGGCGGUGUUUGGCACCUCGAUGUCGGCUCAUCACAUCCUGGGGCUGAAGUAGGUCCCAAGGGUAUGGCUGUUCGCCAUUUAAAGUGGUACGCGAGCUGGGUUUAGAACGUCGUGAGACAGUUCGGUCCCUAUCUGCCGUGGGCGCUGGAGAACUGAGGGGGGCUGCUCCUAGUACGAGAGGACCGGAGUGGACGCAUCACUGGUGUUCGGGUUGUCAUGCCAAUGGCACUGCCCGGUAGCUAAAUGCGGAAGAGAUAAGUGCUGAAAGCAUCUAAGCACGAAACUUGCCCCGAGAUGAGUUCUCCCUGACUCCUUGAGAGUCCUGAAGGAACGUUGAAGACGACGACGUUGAUAGGCCGGGUGUGUAAGCGCAGCGAUGCGUUGAGCUAACCGGUACUAAUGAACCGUGAGGCUUAACCUUACAACGCCGAAGCUGUU